rnacentral:rRNA from 1 species
UCCUACGGGAGGCAGCAGAGGGGAAUUUUGGACAAUGGGCGCAAGCCUGAUCCAGCAAUGCCGCGUGCAGGACGAAGGCCUUCGGGUUGUAAACUGCUUUUGUACGGAACGAAACGGUCUGGGUUAAUACCCUGGGCUAAUGACGGUACCGUAAGAAUAAGCACCGGCUAACUACGUGCCAGCAGCCGCGGUAAUACGUAGGGUGCGAGCGUUAAUCGGAAUUACUGGGCGUAAAGCGUGCGCAGGCGGUUUUGUAAGACAGGCGUGAAAUCCCCGGGCUCAACCUGGGAAUGGCGCUUGUGACUGCAAAGCUAGAGUGCGGCAGAGGGGGAUGGAAUUCCGCGUGUAGCAGUGAAAUGCGUAGAUAUGCGGAGGAACACCGAUGGCGAAGGCAAUCUCCUGGGCCUGCACUGACGCUCAUGCACGAAAGCGUGGGGAGCAAACAGGAUUAGAUACCCUGGUAGUCCACGCCCUAAACGAUGUCAACUGGUUGUUGGUCCUUAGCUGGAUCAGUAACGAAGCUAACGCGUGAAGUUGACCGCCUGGGGAGUACGGCCGCAAGGUUGAAACUCAAAUGAAUUGACGGA